UUGGUGCGGUACUGUUAUAACAUCAUGCAUUGCCUUUUGCGCCGCUUUACACCUUCGCUUGCAUUAAGCAACGCUGAAAGAGCAUGCAAGCAGCUUUCAAAAGUAUCCGCUAAAUGUCAGAAAGCGACGUCGCCAUAACACAAAUUUCACGACUAUUUCAGGCUCUGGCUUAUUGGGUCAAAGAUGGGUGUACUGUCAUGGUACAAGAUGCAAAAACGUACGAAAUUGCAAUUGUAAUUUUUCGUCACCCUGUAUCUAGUAACGAUCGUUACAAAGUUUCUACCGUUUCGACUAAAGUGUUUGAUUUCAACCUUCGCACUCACCGACCGUGUUUAUUUUGCUUACAGUCGUGGAAGUGUGGGCACGCAGGAGCCGUAAUGUUUCAAUACAACGAGAUAAUGUCCGCAGCUCUUUUCCUCGCGCGCGGAGAAACAUCCCUACCGGUGAAAUUGUAGUCAACUACAAGUCAGUCUUAAUUCGACCGUGCGGUAAAGCUAUUCGGCUAUGGGCCACAUACGAAUUCCGUAUUAUUGUCGCAUUCUCUUUUAUAUAUUCCGUAUACUCGUGUAUAUUUUUUUAAUAUGUAAACUUAUAAGAGCUAUUAUGUGUCUUGCAAAGAUAUAAUGACAUUUAGUUGCCGUUAUGAAGAUACUGUUCGUACAUUACAUUUUUAAGAAUGCAUGCAUAUUCGUACAAUGGAGGAUGGAUUACAUAAGAAUUCAGAACAAUCUUGGAAUGCCCACGCUUGAACACGUUAUAACUAUUAGGCUUAACAGCAUUAGACUGACAACCGACAACUUUCUCGGGACUUUUUAACGGUAGAAAGGAAUAAGGAUAAAAGACGAUCUCAUGAAUAUGAAUCCAAAGCAUUGUCCGUACAGCUUGUAUACAAUUGUGAGAAAAAAUUUCCUGAACACAGACUUGAGUGCGGAAAGGUCAACUGAAAUAAGUGAUAAAACCUUGCAAUCUACAUUUUGACGAUUUAAUAUGAGGAUGAUGUGUCCAUUUACUUCGACGCUUUAGAACGAUGACAAGAGAAGGUGAAACACUGAAAUACAAUAAUCGCGCGUAUUAUCACGGGCGUACGUAUCAAUUCAGAAUCUGAGUUGUCAUUUCCAACUGAUACAACAAAAUUGUGCUUUAUCAUUCUCCGUCGAGCAUUUUUUCCUUCAAGUAGUAUUUAUUACUGAUGAUUCGUGUGUAUUUAUUCAUUUUCAAACGUAUAAACGUAUUAUAUCUGACAUAAUUUGACAAAGAAUAUAAUUAAAUUGCAUUAUCGUGUCAGGCUAUAAUGUCAGAUUCUCGGAUUUAUCUCACAUAUUUUGUUUUAAUCUUGUGCGAUCAUAAUAUUUUAAUAUUUCAAAUAAUUUAUAAAUAGUUUUAAUAACCAUAAUUGUGAAGUAAUUAUAUAUAUUAUAUCAUUACUGACGCAAAAUUUUACUCAAAAACAGAUAUUACAUUAAUUGUGGCAAUUAUUGUGAUAAUAUUUCUACGGAAACAUUUAUGAAAUUCUAAAAACAGAAAAAAACAAUAAUGUAUUUUGUAUUUUCUACAUAAAAAAUUAGAGUUUAAAUUUAAAAUAUAUAUUAUUAGACAUUAUAUUAUAUGUAUGUAUAAUGUAAUGCUUAAUAGUCCAUUUGCAAUAUAAAUAUAAUAUUACUGUAAUACGUAUUAUAAUUUUAUAUGUAUACUACUACAUUAUAAUACGUACUCUACAUAUGUAUAUAUUUAUUACAAUGUAAUAAUAUGUAUAACAUAAUAUACAUCCGUGUAUAUAUGUAUACAUCUAUAUUGUAUAAAUAUGUAUAAUAACGUAAAUUUAUAAAUAGCAACUACAAUUAACAUUUUAAUCUAAAGCUGAUAAGUAAACGUAUUAAUAUUGCGAGUACUUUAGUAAAAGACAAGAAUAAUUUAUAAAGCUAAUUUUCAGAAGCUACAAUAUAUUAUAUUCACAUUCUUAUCACUUACAACUUUUUGUAGUUUUCCUCUUAUGCAGUGUUUAUUUACCAAUUGCUUUGACAAUUCAUAUGAUUUAUCAGACAAUAAUCGCAGAUCAAAGGAACAGAAAAUCUAAAGUAUAAAUAAUGUUAAAUCAAUCCUUCAUUAAUGCAAUUUUCAAAAUUAUUCUCGUCUGUCCUUUUACGCGAUACAACAAUUUUGUAUAAUUUAAUAUUAUUUUGAACACGUGUGUACAAAACAUAAUAACAUUUAUAAAAUAAAUAGACGCAAAUACAUUUUACAUGCUACAUCAUUAUUCAAAAAGUAUAGAGUAAUCUCAAAAACAAGAAAUUAAAAG